rnacentral:lncRNA from 1 species
UAACGUUAUGAAUCUUUAAAAUCAUCAUUAAUAACCAAUUUCUAUUUGAAAUAGUAAAAAAAUACCAACAAAAGCGUCAAAAAUUUUUACAAACAUAUUGACAAUCACAAGUGUAAGGAUCAAAACAUUUUCCAUAUGCAAAUGUUCCCUUCAAGUCUCGACAAUAAUUAUUACAGUUCCCAUCUUGACAGCCUGUUGGCAUUGUUGAAAAGGUGUGACAAAACUUAAUGUUUAUUUUCCUAUUGGUAUUCCCAUUACCUAAAAAACAAAUGAAAUAAUUAAACAAUUUGUGAUAUUAAAACGCUAUAAAUCGAAAAAAAAUUGAUGUGUAAGUUACCUGUUGUUACGAUUGUUGCUUUUGCUACGAUUGAUAUUGUGAUAAGUAUUAAAAGGAUAGCAUACAUGUUAAGAAGCUUCAUGAUUGACGUUUGUGUGUUUUUUAUAUCGACUUCUCUUGGUUUAAC